AUUGAACGCUGGCGGCAGGCCUAACACAUGCAAGUCGAGCGGAUGAAGGGAGCUUGCUCCUGGAUUCAGCGGCGGACGGGUUAGUAAUGCCUAGGAAUCUGCCUGGUAGUGGGGGAUAACGUCCGGAAACGGGCGCUAAUACCGCAUACGUCCUGAGGGAGAAAGUGGGGGAUCUUCGGACCUCACGCUAUCAGAUGAGCCUAGGUCGGAUUAGCUAGUUGGUGGGGUAAAGGCCUACCAAGGCGACGAUCCGUAACUGGUCUGAGAGGAUGAUCAGCCACACUGGAACUGAGACACGGUCCAGACUCCUACGGGAGGCAGCAGUGGGGAAUAUUGGACAAUGGGCGAAAGCCUGAUCCAGCCAUGCCGCGUGUGUGAAGAAGGUCUUCGGAUUGUAAAGCACUUUAAGUUGGGAGGAAGGGCAGUAAGUUAAUACCUUGCUGUUUUGACGUUACCAACAGAAUAAGCACCGGCUAACUUCGUG
rnacentral:rRNA from 1 species